rnacentral:rRNA from 1 species
UACAGAGGUCUCAAGCGUUGUUCGGAUUCAUUGGGCGUAAAGGGUGCGUAGGUGGCGCGGUAAGUCAGGUGUGAAAUUUCGGAGCUUAACUCCGAAACUGCAUUUGAUACUGCGGUGCUUGAGGACUGGAGAGGAGACUGGAAUUUACGGUGUAGCAGUGAAAUGCGUAGAGAUCGUAAGGAAGACCAGUGGCGAAGGCGGGGUCUCUGGACAGUUCCUGACACUGAGGCACGAAGGCCAGGGGAGCAAACGGG